GUCAAGCUACAAAGGCUCACGGCGGAUACCUUGGCACACAGAGGCGAUGAAAGGACGUGUACCUGCGAUAAGUUCUCGGGAGCUGGAGCACGCUUUGUAUUCGGAUUC
rnacentral:rRNA from 1 species